UCGGGAAUUUUGGGCAAUGGGGGAAACCCUGACCCAGCAACGCCGCGUGAAGGAUGAAGUAUUUCGGUAUGUAAACUUCGAAAGAAUAGGAAGAAUAAAUGACGGUACUAUUUAUAAGGUCCGGCUAACUACGUGCCAGCAGCCGCGGUAAUACGUAGGGACCAAGCGUUGUUCGGAUUUACUGGGCGUAAAGGGCGCGUAGGCGGCAUGACAAGUCACUUGUGAAAUCUCUGGGCUUAACCCAGAACGGCCAAGUGAUACUGUCGCGCUAGAGUGCAGAAGGGGCAAUCGGAAUUCUUGGUGUAGCGGUGAAAUGCGUAGAUAUCAAGAGGAACACCUGAGGUGAAGACGGGUUGCUGGGCUGACACUGACGCUGAGGCGCGAAAGCCAGGGGAGCAAACGGGAUUAGAUACCCCCGUAGUCCCUGAGCGGGCUGGCAAGGCG
rnacentral:rRNA from 1 species